GGUGGGGUUCCCGAGCGGCCAAAGGGAGCAGACUGUAAAUCUGCCGUCAUCGACUUCGAAGGUUCGAAUCCUUCCUCCACCACCA
rnacentral:tRNA from 7 species